GCCUACGGCCAUCCCACCCUGGUAACGCCCGAUCUCGUCUGAUCUCGGAAGCUAAGCAGGGUCGGGCCUGGUUAGUACUUGGAUGGGAGACCUCCUGGGAAUACCGGUGCUGUAGGCU
rnacentral:rRNA from 1 species